rnacentral:other from 1 species
CUUCAAUACUAUCUAGUAAUUCUAAUAG